UACGAAGGGGGGCUAGCGUUGCUCGGAAUUACUGGGCGUAAAGCGCACGUAGGCGGCUCGUUAAGUCGGAGGUGAAAUCCUGGAGCUCAACUCCAGAACUGCCUUCGAUACUGAUGAGCUCGAGUUCGGGAGAGGUGAGUGGAACUGCGAGUGUAGAGGUGAAAUUCGUAGAUAUUCGCAAGAACACCAGUGGCGAAGGCGGCUCACUGGCCCGAUACUGACGCUGAGGUGCGAAAGCGUGGGGAGCAAACAGG
rnacentral:rRNA from 1 species